GACGACGCUGGCGGGUGGAUUAGGCAUGCAAGUCGAACGGUAUCAUCCUUUCGGGGGUGAGAGAGUGGCGAAUUGGUGAGUAACACGUAGGUUAUCUACCCUCAAGACGGGGACAACCCAGGGAAACUUGGGCUAAUACCGGAUGUGAGCAACUUUUAGUUGUUUGAAAGGUGGCGUAAGCUGUCGCUUGGGGAUGAGCCUGCGUCCUAUUAGUUAGUUGGUGAGGUAACGGCUCACCUAGGCAAUGAUAGGUAGGCGGCCUUAACGGGUGGUCGCCCACACUGGGAUUGAGAUACGGCCCAGACUCCUACGGGAGGCAGCAGUCGAGAAUAGUCUACAAUGGUCGGAAGACUGAUAGUGCGACGCCGCGUGAACGAUGAAUCCCUUCGGGGUGUAAAGUUCUUUUAUAUGUGAGCAGUGCUUCUUAUAUUAACAGUAUGGGGAGAGAGAUAUUAGCAUAUGAAUAAGCAACGGCUAACUCCGUG
rnacentral:rRNA from 1 species